UACUUUAUCCAUAAAAACCUGGAAUUCUGUAUUCCCCUAGCUCAAUUCAUUUUUGUUAUUCCUUCCAGAUGAGCAGCUGAAGCGUGAUGAGCCGAUAUCGAUAUUCAUCAAGCGGAUUUACAGAUUCUUCAUCAGACAUUAGCUUUGAUGAUGACUGGGCAGAUGAAGACGACCUCUCAGAUGAGAUCUUUGACGGAUUUGAGGAAACAUAUCCGGAACUGCAAGUUCCCUGCACGGCUGCAGAUCACAGGACGUGCCAGAUAGUGGACCACCUUCCCGCACUGAACAAUCUGCUCUCCUCGGUAGGGCUCCGACUGCGCGAGUUAUCGGAGGGUGAUGGCCAGCUGGCUGUGGUGGAUUCCCGAACUGACUUUACUUCUUGGCUAAAGGAAAGUGGAAAGGAAAAUUCUAGAUUCUUGGCUUGGCUGCUUAAUUCGCACCGAUGUGUGACAUCUCUGUACCUGCACGACAUAUCUCUGCUACCAUUCUUGAAAGAAGAUCCUGAUGGCGUGCUUGAUGGCAACUCCUCCCUGACGCCGCUUAAUGUAGGCAGUCGCUCUGGUAUCACAGACUCGGACGAUGUGUGUGAAAUAAUUCCUAAGCUAAUGCAGCUGGAGAAACUCGAGGUCUUGGAGGAUUUCUUGGGCCUAGAUACUGUUGAAGCGCUCUCGGAAGUACAACGUACGAGAAACCUGUCUGCCCUCAAAGUUUUCUGUUACGAGUGUGAUGGUGAUGAAGUGGUGAAUGCCUUUGUGUCGGCUCUGAAGGCGAGCUCUACCCUGCGAGAGUUGUCAGUGAACGCUGGACUAUUUAGCGACAGCCCUGGAAGAGGAAAGAUAACAUUCAUGGAGUAUUUGGAAAACAACAAAGUGUUAGAAAGGUUAAAUAUUUAUGGGAACGAACACGAUUUCAUGAAGUGCGUUCUUAUGGCCAUGUGCAGGAACAGAAGCGUAUCCGAACUUUCUUUAUACGGAGAUUGCUUCGAUUUCGGAACAUACCUGCUCCUGCGGGGGCCUUUUAUUGGAAAAUGCAGUUUUAAAGAGGUUCACGAUGUCAGCCAUUGACGGGCGUCACGCGCUAUCUCAUGAGGGAGGUUUCGAAGAAUGGCUCGAGGCCCUUGGCAAAAACAGGGGGCUACGAUAUAUUAGGUUCCCGUUUGCGAUGAUACCUCAUGAUCAGUGGGGCUCACUUUUCGAAAUUGUGUCCACGCACACGAGCCUGAAGGAAGUUGUUGUGGAGGUGCCGGGCUGGCAGCAGUGCGAAGAAGUCCGAGACUCGCAGUACAAAAAAGCACAAAACUUCAAGCCUUAUGAACUAGAAAACGUCCUGCAUUGCGCACUGCUCGACGUGUGUAAGAUCCUUGAGAACAGCGGCGCUAAAGACAAGGUGACAUUCACGUUUGUGGCAUUACAAUCCCAUCCUCUCGUCGAAGCUGGUCGAAGGCGUCAUGCUUUUCCUUUUCCAGUUCUUCCUGGAGCAAUGACAAGUCCAUCGAUGGACUUAUUAAAACAGCUCUGCUCCUUCGACAGUUGCCGUAUGACUGAACUGAAAGUCGAGCUAUCGUGCUUGGAGGAACAUUCAUCGGGUGUUGCUCAGUUCAUAAAGGAAACGACUACGUUGAAGAGACUGUUUCUUGGUAAUAGGCUUGAUCAGAAUGCGCCAAGUGUCGACAGUAUCUGGUCAAACAUUUUGGCGUCGCUAUCGCAGAAUACUAGCAUAAUAGAGGUCACCUUACAGGCAAAAAGAGAGUCAGCCGAAAACCUGCGUACAUCUCGCCGAGGUUGUGAAAUCCAGCACAACAAUCCGAACGCUCGAUAUCUCUUUAGAAAUGGGACCGAAUUAUGGAGAUUGUGCUGGUCACAUCACCUGUUGAUAUCUCCAAGAACUACAGUCUUUGUAGCUUUAGCCUUUUUCAACCUCUGACCCCGUUGAUAUGGUUAUUUGACUGGAAGGCUUGGUACAGCACCUCGUGGCGGAACUCUGGCAUCGUGGCGCGGGCAGCUCGUUUUGCGAAACGCACCAUGUGUGACAGGCGCUGUGCCAGUGCCUUGGAAACCCUUUCCCGCCAUCCGGCACUUGUGGCAGAGCUCGCCGAAGUGCUCACAGUCACCGACGCCGAGGCGGCCUCGCUGGUUCGAACACGGCUCAGCCACAUCCAGGAUAUGAACGAGUUCAUGCGGCUGGCUGGUGUCGUGAAGGACAGAGUCACUUGUGAACCGCGCGAGGACGGGUGCAAGCAGUUGUGCGACCUCAACGAAGACUGCUGGAGGCACGUGAUGCGCUAUCUGAAGCUGGACGACAUCUGCUACCCCUCGGAGACUGCCGAAUGAACUGCUCUACAGUGAGCGUCGUGGUGUUCUAUGCUGAUAACACUGGAGAGAAAUGUGGUGCCGGUGGAUCGUUUAACCCCGCCAGUGCAGGUGUGGAAGCUUUUGGCAUCAGGUGCAUUUGCGAAUGCAUUGUUCAUAUAUUGUUGAAUACAACUUGUUCUGCGACAAAUGCGGUUCAUGUUUUCUCUAGUACAACACAAAAUUGCGUUGAAGAUUGUUCAGUAAGGCUUUAAUGCUAUUUCAAAAAAUUACAUGUCACGCCGCACAAGAUUUUUCCUCCCAGUUUGUCAUAGAACUCUACAUGUAACAGAAGUGUUUUAUUAAAAACGGUCAUUAAGCAAUGCUAAGCAAGCAUGACUGUGGUAUGCACGGACCCCGGUUUGAAAAAAAAACAAUAAAAAAAACAUAUGUUUGAAGCGAAUUUCCACUUGAUAACCAGUUUGCAAGAUCUCUAACAAGCAUCAGGGGCCGUACGCGUUUAGAGAAAGAAUUCUGAAGUCUUGUGUUAUGUUUUCUGGGCUGCAAACGUUGUGUAAUUCUGUUUCCUCCUCUCUUGCAUUUUGCUGUAAUCCGUUUACUCUCUAUUCUUUAUUGAUACUUAUGUGAUGCUUCUUGGGUUGCUUCUUCGUUUCUUGUUAUUACAUGUUUAUUUUUGGUUUACUUGCCAGUAUUAGUUUAUGCAUGUAUGCCUCAUUUCCACCCUCCUUUGUGGUGUAACCACGCAUCGUUUGAC